CCUGAACGCUGGCGGCGUGGCUAAGACAUGCAAGUCGUACGGGGUAGCAAUACCCAGUGGCGAACGGGUGAGUAAUGUAUCGCUAACGUGCCCCCGAGUCAGGGAUAGCUGCCCGAAAGGGCAGGUAAUACCUGAUAAGACCACGACCGGGCAUCCGGUUGUGCUCAAAGCAGCAAUGCGCUCAGGGAGCGGGCGAUAUCGUAUCAGCUAGUUGGUGAGGUAACGGCUCACCAAGGCGACGACGCGUAGCCGGACUGAGAGGUUGGCCGGCCACAUUGGGACUGAGACACUGCCCAGACUCCUACGGGGGGCUGCAGUAACGAAUCUUCCGCAAUGCACGAAAGUGUGACGGAGCGACGCCGCGUGUGGGACGAAGUCCU
rnacentral:rRNA from 1 species